rnacentral:tRNA from 1 species
UGGGGUAUGGCUCAGUGGUAGAGCACUUGCCUACCAAGCAAGAAGGCUUUGGUUCUAUCACCAGCGCUGCAA